rnacentral:misc_RNA from 1 species
UGCGGACAACAACUGGUGCAAAAGUAUAUGUGGGAGUUUUGUGUAUAUUAUAGUAAAAUUUAUAAUCAUUUCUUACUUAUUGCAAAAAUGUCCACUCUGCUGUUGAACAACAUAGAGGAAAUUAGGAAUCCUCAAACAUGAAGACAAACAGACACAGAAAGAAAGCCAACAUAUAAAGAUGGCAAACAUUGAAACAUAUUGAUGUUUUGAAUCAACUAGACCCAAA